GCGGCCAUUAAAAAAAACACUGGGAAACAAAGCGAAACAAAAACAAGCAGGCGGGUAAAAAAAAAGCGGAACGCCUCUCCUCGCCGCCAUCGCUGUGGCUUGCGUUGAUCGUGACAUCACUGGUGACGGCGCGAGUGACAGCACAAAGGUCUCCUUGCCGCUGGUUCGUCGAGGGGCUGUCAGCAUCCUCAACAUCAUUACGGCGACACCCUCGGCAGGAGCGUUUGGUCGGAGCCCAACCGGCAGACAGGUGAUUCAUGGAGACGUGGAGGCUGACUCCAUUCGUUUCACAAAAAGCAAACUGAGGAGAACUCUCAUACAUUUAACAUAAAAGACAAAGCUAAGGAGGCCUAAGAGGAGGAGGUGGUGAAAAGAUAAAUCACAUACCUUCCAGAUGCCCCCCCCCCCCCACCACCACCAACAGCGCGAGAAAAUACCGCGAGUGGACGGGCCCAUGAAUAAAUUCUGGCCACCGAGUGCCUGAGUGGACUCUGCCAGCUGACAGCCGCCGACGCCCAACCUACAGACUACCGUGGGCGAUGGUGUAUUUAGAUGUCAAAAGUGAUGAUUCAAGCGGACCCCCCCCCCCAGGUCCCUGCUGAGUGACUCAUCUGAAUGUAAAUCAAAAUAAUUACCUCCCAACACAGAGAUAAAAAACCCACACGCACAGCCCUGAUGCUGUCCGUCCCCACAGAGAGUGAUUUACAGAUCAAGAGUGAAAGCAGGGAAGGGCUGCCCCCGUGAGUCGCAGGUGCUUGAUUGGCGGAGAGCCGAGAUGGCCUGGACGAGCGUGGAGCCCCUAGCCUGGAUCCCCGGAGAUGUGCGCGCGGUGAGACACAGGGGCAGUUCUCCAGCCCAGGAUCCGUUGCCCACGCAGGUGAGUCUGGCGGGGAAGGAGAGCUCGUACCCCGGCAGGCAGCUGUAGCUCACGCUGGUGCCCCACUCAAACACACUGCCCUCCACGCGGCCGCGGUGGACAGGGGGCGGCGCAGGG